GCAGAGAAACGCGAAACACGGCAGCAAAGACCGAGCGCUCAGGCGACUAGCUGACCGCAGCGCAUCAUGGUGUCGCACCAUAGAAUGCUUUUUAUAAGAAUCAGCGGUUUAACAAAACGAAUAACCGUGUUAAAAAAAUAGGCUCAACGUUCAUUGUCUUACUAGGAAGGAGGACACAACGCGAAACUGUUUGGUAGCGCCGGAGCCGAAAGUUACUGGCAUCUCCCUGAAAGCAACAAGGACGGGGCAGCAUCAACCGCCCAGGGGCCAUUCCAGCCUUCCUGCGGACCCCCACUGUGAUGCAGCCACACCUGGACAUGAAACCCUUCCUGCAGUUUCCGCUGGACACUCCGCACUCCGCCGGGAUUUUCCCCAACUUCACUGCAAUGGACCCCGUCCAGAAGGCUGUGAUUAACCACACGUUUGGUGUUCCGCUGAUUAAGACCAAAAGGCCGGUCAUUUCCUGCAACGUCUGCCAGAUCCGCUUCAACUCAGAGGUGAGUGUCCUCCUGCCCC